AAAACUAGGGCCCACCUCUCUCUUUCCAUAGCCUAGCUCUAACUGCAGGCAUUUGCGAUCAUCCUCCAGUAGACAACUGAAAUGCCGUGGUGGCUACGUUGAAACUAGCCUAUUAAAAACCCACAUGGUCAAGAUACAUACCAACUUUUGCAAUCAAGUGACAAUGGCAGAGGAGGCUAUUUUGGGAUAUUUGGAGAAUCACGAAGAGAUCUCUGAUUCCGGCGAGUUCGCAGCAGAAAGGGGAAUCGACCACGCCGAGAUCGUCAAUGUCAUCAAAAGCCUCUACGGUUUCCGCUUUGUCAGCGCUCAGGACAUUAGAACGGAGACAUGGGUGCUGACCGACGAAGGGAAAAAGUAUGCUGCUGUAGGGUCUCCUGAAGUGCAGCUGUUCUUGGCUGUGCCAACGGAGGGUAGCAUCUCGAAGGAGGAGCUGCAGAAAAAGCUUGACCCUGGAGUUUUCAAAAUAGGGUGCUCACAGGCUGGAAAGAAUAAGUGGGUGGAAAUGGGAAAGCAAAUAUCAAGGAAGGUUCAACAUGUUGAAGACAGAGUAAAGGACUUGCUUUUGCGGAUUCAAGAUGGGAAGGUUCAUGAUUGUUUUUAAUGCAUUUAAUGGUCAUCAGUUUUACUCCAGUUCUUCAAUCUUUUAUUGAUCUUUUGUUCAGUUCUGAGUUUUGUUUUGUUUCUUAGGCAUAUGUUUUUCAAAAUAUGUCCAUGGAGACAGUAGGUAAAAUUCAUGUUGUGUUUUGGGUUAGGUAGCUGUUUGGUCACAUGCAGUGGAUGGUGCUCAUUGUUUAAGGUGUGAUUUGUAGAUGAUUUUGCAAAACUGAAUUAUGUUACAGAAGUAGAAAUACUAAUUCAAGUGGAUGGGUCUUAGCAAAUUUUUCAUUAUGGUAACUAAAGAUAUUACAUCAAUUGGUUUAAUAUAUAUCUACUGGUCAGUUUUUUGACCUUUCUUAUGAGCAUGAGCUAGUUGUUGUGUGGUUUGGGACUUGCAUAAGCACAAUGCAGGUGUGAUAUAAUUGCACAUAAAUUUGGACGUCUAUGCAUCUAUGGAUGUAUUUUUGUAAAUUUCGACACCAAUAAAGGGCCUCCAUUUUAGCUAUCUACUCAAUGGAUAAUGCACUUGGGAUUUUGGGAAGUUUUCCUGUGUCUCCACUGUGUCCUAGGUAGGUAGCAGUUUAUGGCUAGAAAGUGGCUCCUCUUUUAAAGGUUUUAUAUUGUUUCUUUUGUUCAAUUUACUACUUUUUUUUUUUUCUCUUUUUUGUGAUUCCAGGCAGUUGACAAAGAUGAUGUCAAUAAUUUAAAAGCAAGAAAGCUGAUUGUUUUACAGACUUGGAAGGGGUACUCGGUGAGAAAAGGUCCUAAUUAUGCACCGAAAAGAAAGAAACCAGAAGCUGAUUUGACUCGAGAAAAUCUACGAAGGCAUACAUAUAUUCAGGUGAUUGGAAGGAACUAGAGUUUAAGGAGUAUAACUUCAGUGCCAAGGGUCCACCACCUGAAUGUGGCAAUCUUCAUCCACUCAACAAGGUGAAAGACCGAUUGAAGGAUAUAUUUCGUCUACUAAACUUCUGGAAUUUUGAUGCACUGUUCCAGCCACAACAACAUCCUGCCCGUGAUUCACAUGAUACAUUCUUCUUGCAAGUUCCUUCAACCACAAGGCAACUGCCAGAGGAUUAUGUUGAGUUAGUGAAGCAGGUUCAUGAGUCAGGAGGUUAUGGAUCAAGGGGAUAUGGAUAUGAAUGGAAAAGAGAUGAAGCAAACAAAAAUCUUCUGCGAACUCACACAAUAGCAAUUUCAUCGCGGAUGCUUUACGCACUAGCACAGCAUGCAAAAGAGCAACCUCUUACCCCAAAAAGACACUUCUCAAUAGAUCGUGUUUUCAGAAAUGAAGCAGUAGAUCGUACUCAUCUUGCAGAGUUCCAUCAGAUAGAAGGUAUCUUUGAGUUAACAAAAUAGAAGCUGGGUUAUGGCUUCCUUGGAUUCUCAUUACGGGCUUUUGUGCUGCUCAUGCCAUGUUUAUCUGUCAUGAAGCGUCAAAAUGUGAAGUGACCAAUUUUUUAUUUUUGCAUCAAUACAUAUUUUAUUUGUAUGUGGCCCAACCUGAGUACCUUUUUCAUAGGUAUGGUUGGGCAGACUGCUUUAGUAAUAUUGUAAAGGAUGUUAGGCCAUGUCAUAUUGUAAAGUUAGGUCACUGUCUAAUCAAUCAAACGUCUCUGUUCAAUUAUCAAAUUUACAAAUUGUGAUUUUUUUCUGAUCAAUAACUUUCUAAACUCCUGCAUUUGGUUUCAGGUCUCGUGUGUGAUCGAGGGCUUACUUUGAGUCACCUGAUUGGAAUCCUGGAGGACUUCUUCUCACGAUUAGGAAUGUCCAAGCUGCGCUUCAAGCCUGCUUACAAUCCCUAUACUGAACCUAGCAUGGAGAUUUUCAGCUAUCACAAAGGUUUUGGAAAAUGGGUGGAGAUUGGAAAUUCUGGCAUGUUCAGGCCUGAAAUGUUACGUCCCAUGGGAUUUCCAGAAGAUGUUAGUGUUAUUGCAUGGGGCCUUUCACUUGAAAGGUAAGAAACUUGAUCCUCUCUUUAAGAAAUUAGUCAUGAAUCCAAAUAACCGAGAAUAAUUCUGGAAAAGAUAUUAUCAAUGAUGGGAAGCUUUUGCUUAGACAUGUUUCAUCGUGUGCCUAAAAUACAAUAUAUAUAGUGGGACUCACAUGUUUGUAUCUUGGAUUUAUGAUGAAUCAGCUUUAUGAAAAAUUAUAUAGUAAAGUGGUGAUACCAUGCACAUUACAUUGUAAGACAAAUCAAUGGAAUAAAAAAACCAAUGUACAAUUGCAUUUACUUCAAAAAAAAAUACCUGGUGGUUAUAAUUUUUGGAACCCACUGUGUAUAGGUGUUUGUUUACUAUUAGUUUACCAUUACAUGUAGGAUAUAAUAAUAGUAGUGUAUAAUUUCUCCAAGUUUAGGCAAGUUUUUCCUAUCAAUCACUUCUUUAUAUUCAAUUUGAUAUUUCUUUUCCUUGUUUAAACCAGACCAACGAUGAUAUUAUAUGGAAUUGAUAAUAUCCGCGAUCUGUUUGGACACACGGUACUAUGUCACAUUUAAUGUGUUUGUAAGCUAGACAAUCAUGCAAUCUUCAUUUUUUGUUGACUUGCACGCAUUCUUCUAAUUGCAGGUGGAUCUUAGUCUCAUGAAGAAAAACCCUCUGUGUCUCAUUGGAAUACGGUAGAUUGUGAAAUGUUUCUUAUUUGUGGCCUUAAUUAUUUCUUUUCAUUUGAGAAUAAAUUGAAUGAGUUUUAUGUGGGGGAAAUUAGGAUGGGAAUUGAACUUGUGCUUGCUCUGUAUUCUUUUGGCUCACAAUGUUGUGAGUAUAAUGACAUUGUAUUGCACUUCACAUCAUUGUAUUCUAACAAUAGGCCAAUAUUCAUAUGUUCUUUACUCUGUAUUUGCAACUGGGGGUGUAAAAACUAGAUAACUGAAAUGCUAAGAAAUAAAAACUUAACCAUGUUAGAGAGAGGAAAAUCAAUACACAGCGACUCAAACUUUCAAAACCCAACUAGUAAAUCAAUCUCACAAGCCUUCCAAUAACAAUAAUUGAUAGCAAAUAACAAUUAUUUUUAACCUUGGCAUUUGAGGGCUGUUUAAUUUGUGAUCCUACAUCACUUAUGGACAGAUAGUUUGUAUAUUAUAUAACUGAGUAUGUGUUGGUAAAAUUGUCAUAGUUUUAUUGAGGGGUAUGUUGUCCUUGUGUGUUUUCAAUAAAAAGAAAAAAAUUAAACAAAUCAUCCAAUACAGGUAAUUCUGAAAAUGAAGAAAUUAAAAAAAAAAUUGUAACAAAAAUUAGAACUAUAGAAACCUUGAGUUUCUACUUUAAGCAAUGGCGAUCGCUUGCUACUUUGCAAUCUUGAGAUAUUUCUUCCUUUUCAAUUUAUCUUCACUGCCCGGUAAUGUGAAGGCGAAAACAUUAAUGAAGUGAUUAAGAAAAUAAGUUGAAAGAGAAAACAAAAAAAUAUGAAAUGAGAGCGAGAGCGAGAAAUCGAGAGGGAGG
rnacentral:misc_RNA from 1 species